rnacentral:rRNA from 1 species
AUGAACGCUAGCUACAGGCUUAACACAUGCAAGUCGAGGGGCAGCAUUUUAGUUUGCUUGCAAACUAAAGAUGGCGACCGGCGCACGGGUGAGUAACACGUAUCCAACCUGCCGAUAACUCGGGGAUAGCCUUUCGAAAGAAAGAUUAAUAUCCGAUAGUAUAUUAAAACCGCAUGGUUUUACUAUUAAAGAAUUUCGGUUAUCGAUGGGGAUGCGUUCCAUUAGUUUGUUGGCGGGGUAACGGCCCACCAAGACUACGAUGGAUAGGGGUUCUGAGAGGAAGGUCCCCCACAUUGGAACUGAGACACGGUCCAAACUCCUACGGGAGGCAGCAGUGAGGAAUAUUGGUCAAUGGACGAGAGUCUGAACCAGCCAAGUAGCGUGAAGGAUGACUGCCCUAUGGGUUGUAAACUUCUUUUAUAUGGGAAUAAAGUAUUCCACGUGUGGGAUUUUGUAUGUACCAUAUGAAUAAGGAUCGGCUAACUCCGUGCCAGCAGCCGCGGUAAUACGGAGGAUCCGAGCGUUAUCCGGAUUUAUUGGGUUUAAAGGGAGCGUAGGUGGAUUGUUAAGUCAGUUGUGAAAGUUUGCGGCUCAACCGUAAAAUUGCAGUUGAAACUGGCAGUCUUGAGUACAGUAGAGGUGGGCGGAAUUCGUGGUGUAGCGGUGAAAUGCUUAGAUAUCACGAAGAACUCCGAUUGCGAAGGCAGCUCACUAGACUGCAACUGACACUGAGGCUCGAAAGUGUGGGUAUCAAACAGGAUUAGAUACCCUGGUAGUCCACACAGUAAACGAUGAAUACUCGCUGUUUGCGAUAUACAGUAAGCGGCCAAGCGAAAGCAUUAAGUAUUCCACCUGGGGAGUACGCCGGCAACGGUGAAACUCAAAGGAAUUGACGGGGGCCCGCACAAGCGGAGGAACAUGUGGUUUAAUUCGAUGAUACGCGAGGAACCUUACCCGGGCUUAAAUUGCAUUUGAAUAAUCUGGAAACAGGUUAGCCGCAAGGCAAAUGUGAAGGUGCUGCAUGGUUGUCGUCAGCUCGUGCCGUGAGGUGUCGGCUUAAGUGCCAUAACGAGCGCAACCCUUAUCUUUAGUUACUAACAGGUCAUGCUGAGGACUCUAGAGAGACUGCCGUCGUAAGAUGUGAGGAAGGUGGGGAUGACGUCAAAUCAGCACGGCCCUUACGUCCGGGGCUACACACGUGUUACAAUGGGGGGUACAGAAGGCAGCUACCUGGCGACAGGAUGCUAAUCCCAAAAACCUCUCUCAGUUCGGAUCGAAGUCUGCAACCCGACUUCGUGAAGCUGGAUUCGCUAGUAAUCGCGCAUCAGCCAUGGCGCGGUGAAUACGUUCCCGGGCCUUGUACACACCGCCCGUCAAGCCAUGAAAGCCGGGGGUACCUGAAGUACGUAACCGCAAGGAGCGUCCUAGGGUAAAACUGGUAAUUGGGGCU